rnacentral:lncRNA from 11 species
GCUCUCCCAGCUGGACCAUAAGAGGGAUUAUGUCUGAGCAGUAGAUAAACGGCUUAUUCCAGAAACAGACACUGCUUUUUUUGUUGUUGUUUAAACUUCGUCACUCUUCUCCGAAUUCUCACUCCAGUCCGACUUUCAUUCUAUUUGGGCAAGAGGUGGUGUGAGCUUGGGGUUUGCUCAACUUCUGGAUUCCCCAUCUGUGGUCACUUACCGAAUGAGAGGACAUUCCGAACACUUCGGUCUUAGGACAGCUGGAAUUGUGUGUGGUUUUGUCUCCUUAAAAGCAACCCACUUAUUCGGCCAAAUCAGCCCCCUGCACAACCAUCCUUGAAAAUUGUGAAUGGUUAAAAAAAGCAGCAUGCAUUUGAAAACGGGAUUCCUAUUUCUUGUAAUUUGCCUUGCGCUCCAAGUCCAAGGAAGCACAGAAACUCCAAAUAAAAUUAAUCGUGAUGAAGCCAAACUACUUGCAGAUACUUCCGGGUUUGAUAAGUCAGAAAGAACUACAAAGAGGUCUAGAGUGUCAACUAUCCGCAGGAUAUUUGAUAUGGCCAAACAUCGAACAAAAAGGUCUUCUUUUUUCCCAACUGGAGUGAAAGUUUGCCCUCAAGAGUCAGUGAAGCAGAUUUUAGCAAGCCAUCAAGCUUAUUAUCGGCUAAGAGUUUGCCAAGAAGCUGUAUGGGAAGCUUUCCGCAUUUUUCUGGAUCGGAUUCCAGAUGCAACAGAAUAUCAGAAUUGGGUCACAGCUUGUCAGCGGGAAACAUUCUGCAUAUUCGAUAUUGGG